UACCGUGAGGGAAAGGUGAAAAGCACCCCGACGAGGGGAGUGAAACAGUACCUGAAACCGAACGCCUACAAUCAGUCGGAGCUUGACUGGACUCUAAUGACAAUCUGGGCCAUGACCCUGUGAAAACAGGAGAUUAUCAUGGCUGAUGGAACCUUCGCGGUGCUUCUGAUCGUGCUCGGCCUUGCCGACAUGAACGGAAACCACUGCGGAACGGACGGCGGCUGCCUCGGGCGGUCGGACGUCCAGCCACGCCUGGCCAUCUCGGCUGGCGAAGUGGUCGAACGGCGUGCCAAGCCAGCCGCGGAAACUUACCUGCGUUAUGAUACAGGCCAAAAGAUCGGUCCCUUCGGACAGGCAGUUGGUCUCUCGGUCGGCGAGAAGGGCGAAACCUGGGCGGGCUACGGCGCGACCUACAGGAUCGGUCUGUGGAACACGCCACUCUAUGCGGAGCUGCACACCAUGCCGGGGAUCUACCUCGACAAUGGCGGCUUCGACCUCGGUGGACCGAUCGAGUUUAGGUCGGGGAUCGAGUUGGGGUGGGAAAACGACCGCGGCUGGCGCUUUGCCGUCAGUUACGAUCACCGCUCGAACGCGGAGAUCUAUGACAACAACCCGGGCAUCGAGACGGUGCAGUUCCGGGUCAGCGUUCCAACCAGAUGAAAGCUCCAGGAAUGGAGAGGUGUGGGCUCUCGUGUCAUUGCUGCGCAAUGCACUGUCGCCCACCCGUCAGCAUCCUCCGGAUGCGACGUGAUUGUCAUUAGUGUCCAGUCUUGUGACGGCGUACCUUUUGUAUAAUGGGUCAUCGACUUGGUCUAUCUAGCAAGCUUAAGCCGAUAGGUGUAGGCGCAGC
rfam:Ponticoccus sp. TMTAT08 contig000059, whole genome shotgun sequence.